rnacentral:rRNA from 1 species
UACGUAGGGUGCAAGCGUUUAAUCGGAAUUACUGGGCGUAAAGCGUGCGCAGGCGGUCCGUUAAGACAGAUGUGAAAUCCCCCGGGCUUAACCUGGGAACUGCAUUUGUGACUGGCGGACUCGAGUAUGGCAGAGGGGGGGUAGAAUUCCACGUGUAGCAGUGAAAUGCGUAGAGAUGUGGAGGAAUACCGAUGGCGAAGGCAGCCCCCCUGGGCCAAUACUGACGCUCAUG